UUGCAGGUUCAGUUAGAAUUUG
rnacentral:siRNA from 1 species